rnacentral:lncRNA from 1 species
UUUGUAGGAUGCACCAUCAGCAAAUGUAAAUACAUCUAAUGAAGAAGUGCAUGAAGCAACAGAAGGAUUGUAUUUUUUGCUUGUACAAGAAAAAGACAGCAUUCAAUAUCCAAAUUUUCAAUGGGCGUCAAGUCACUCUAUUAAAAAGAAAAUAAUAAUAUAUUUGAUGAUCGAUACAAUACCCAGCCCAUCUGAAAGUGGCAAUGUUAUCCCUAUUUUUAAAAAGCAGGUUAUUGUUUAAGCGAUUCCAGACUCCAGAUAAGAAUUUAUAAAAAAAAAUAUCGAUACAAAUUUCUUUGAAAGGAAACCUGAAACUAUUCAGGAUUUCCAAAAUUUUUUUGAACGAGAUCGAUACUUUAAAUUCUUGUCAAGGAGGACCAUCAAUAAAUUACUUCAAAAAUGUUAAUGUUGGAACUGCAUAUAAAGAUGAUGAAAGAGGAAGCAUAAUAAAUGCCCAAUACUUCUGAGUACUGGAACUGUCUGCUCAUAUUGCACGACAUUAUAUAAACUUUUAUCGCAGAAUCAGCAUCGACAAAAAAUUAAAAAACUGCGCACAAAUAGAUAUGCUACUAAAACUGUAAAAAAUACUUUUAAAAAAUGUGCAAUAAUAAACGUGUAAUUAAACAGCGUCUUACACAAAAAGAGCGUAAACUGCGUGACCUCACAAAAGAAUUGAAUAAGGUACAUGCACGAAUUCAGAAUGUCCAGCAAAUAAAUUUUAUUGAGAAGUUGAAGACGCUGUCGCCUAAUCUAACAGAAAAUCAGGUAACCUUAAUUAACGAAUGUUUAGUUGCUGGUAAAGUUUCCAAUGCAAAAAGUCGUCGGUACACGCAUGAAUGCAUUUUACUGUGUAUGCUACUGUACAUUAGAAGUUCUGCAGCGUAUAAUAUGCUAAAGGAUAAUGGCAUUUUACCUUUGCCAGCAAAAUCUACAAUUAAAAAAUAUUUGCGCUUCUCGAAUACAGGUCGCGGAUUCGAUGCUAAAUUUUUAAAAAGAAGAUGCAAAAUUUGCCUGAAAUUGCAAGAAAUAGAAUGUUGUCCUUUGACGAAGUUUCAGUCCGAUCUAGCAUCGAAGUUAACGCCAACACGUUAACAUUUGAUGGAUUAGUAAACCAUGGAAAUAAUGAAAUUGGAGAAUAAAGUAUAAGUGAACAAGCAGACCAUGCUUUAGUGUUUAUGUUUUCAUCGUUAUAUUUGACUUUUCGAAACCAGUUGGUAUGUUUGGAUCUAAGGGGAUUACAAAAACAAUUUUUUUUUAUCUGCUCUAGUUAUACAAGCUAUAAUAGAAAUAGAAAAAGCUGGAGGUAAAGUGCACUGUAUUGUGUGCGACGGUGCUACUACAAAUAGAAGUAUGUGGAGAAGCUUUGGAAUAUCUGGGAAUAUUGAUGAUGUCAAAAAUUUUUCCGAAAUACAUUUGACGAUAAAAGAAAAGUUUUUGCUUUCUCCGAUGCUCCUCAUCUUAUAAAAUGUAUAAGAAACAGAUUAAAGCAAAAAAAAGUUUGAAGGUAAACGCUUUUCAAAAUUUUAACAAUUUUAUGUUAGGUGAUUUCUUUCAUUACAGCUGCAUUAAUUAUUUUCAUUUAAAAUACUUGUACAACUUAGGUCAAUGGUGAUUCUGUGAAGUGGGCUUUUUAUGAAGCUCUGUAUUAUCAUGAUAUUCAAAGUAAUCUUAGAGUAUGUCCAAAAUUAACAGAGAAUCACAUCAAACUUGUACAUGCAAUAAAAAUGAGAGUUAUUCUGGCAACUUAAGUAAUAUUUUAUAUUAUUUUGGUCUGUCUUCUGCUAUAUUUUAUUUAUAAAUGCAAUAGUAUUAUUUUAAACUAUAGGAAUAGAUCUCUACGAGUUCGUAGAGAUUAUUGUAUUCCUAUAGUGUGACGGCAGGCCCAGCCCAGGGAUAAGAGAACAGCAACAGAUAACUUGCCUGGCGUAGGCAAGUUACCGACCGAGUGGCGCUAGGAGCCAAAUGUAAAUAGUCUACCUAUGCGCGGGUAGAUGGCGUACGCGCAUGUAACACAGGGGAGAGGGAGAAACUCGGGUAUAUAAGGAGCCCCGGAGCCAGCAGCAGAGCAUAUUAAUGAUCUGGCUCUCAACUGAGUAACGUGCGAAUGGUAGUACUCACUGCUUGCUCCGGUCUCCACCAUACCUAGUAGUCCAUGAGCCCCAGGCUGUCGAAGAGUAUGUGUGCAGUCCACUCCAUCUCCUGUAGGCUGAGA